rnacentral:lncRNA from 1 species
UUUUUUAUUAAAUUUUUCACAACAGGCUUCCAAAACCGGAGAAAAAACUACGGCCGCUGCCUAAACUGGCAACCAGAGAAUUAAUACUAUGUGAAAAUUGUUACAAUACAUAGACUUCUCUCACUCACAACCCAGACACCCCAGUACAACCACACUCUUACAAAGCAAAUAUUUAAACUAAGUCAGAUACAAGCUUAAAGUGCUAUUGCUGAC